CUAUACAUGCAGUAGACGCUGAAGACUUUAGCUUGCUAAAGUUGGAAGAGUUGCGAACGGGUGAGUAACGCGUAGGUAACCUGCCUACUAGCGGGGGAUAACUAUUGGAAACGAUAGCUAAUACCGCAUAACAGCAUUUAACACAUGUUAGAUGCUUGAAAGGAGCAAUUGCUUCACUAGUAGAUGGACCUGCGUUGUAUUAGCUAGUUGGUGAGGUAACGGCUCACCAAGGCGACGAUACAUAGCCGACCUGAGAGGGUGAUCGGCCACACUGGGACUGAGACACGGCCCAGACUCCUACGGGAGGCAGCAGUAGGGAAUCUUCGGCAAUGGGGGCAACCCUGACCGAGCAACGCCGCGUGAGUGAAGAAGGUUUUCGGAUCGUAAAGCUCUGUUGUAAGAGAAGAACGUGUGUGAGAGUGGAAAGUUCACACAGUGACGGUAACUUACCAGAAAGGGACGGCUAACUACGUGCCAGCAGCCGCGGUAAUACGUAGGUCCCGAGCGUUGUCCGGAUUUAUUGGGCGUAAAGCGAGCGCAGGCGGUUUAAUAAGUCUGAAGUUAAAGGCAGUGGCUUAACCAUUGUUCGCUUUGGAAACUGUUAGACUUGAGUGCAGAAGGGGAGAGUGGAAUUCCAUGUGUAGCGGUGAAAUGCGUAGAUAUAUGGAGGAACACCGGUGGCGAAAGCGGCUCUCUGGUCUGUAACUGACGCUGAGGCUCGAAAGCGUGGGGAGCAAAACAGGAUUAGAUACCCUGGUAGUCCACGCCGUAACGAUGAGUGCUAGGUGUUAGGCCCUUUCCGGGGCUUUAUGCCGCAGCUAACGCAUUAAGCACUCCGCCUGGGGAGUACGACCGCAAGGUUGAAACUCAAAGGAAUUGACGGGGGCCGCACANCCGGUGGAACCUGA
rnacentral:rRNA from 1 species